rnacentral:rRNA from 1 species
AUAGGUGGCAAGCGUUGUCCGGAAUUAUUGGGCGUAAAGCGCGCGCAGGCGGUCCUUUAAGUCUGAUGUGAAAGCCCACGGCUCAACCGUGGAGGGUCAUUGGAAACUGGGGGACUUGAGUACAGAAGAGGAAAGCGGAAUUCCAAGUGUAGCGGUGAAAUGCGUAGAGAUUUGGAGGAACACCAGUGGCGAAGGCGGCUUUCUGGUCUGUAACUGACGCUGAGGCGCGAAAGCGUGGGGAGCAAACAGGGAUUAGAUACCCUGGUAGUCCACGCCGUAAACGAUGAGUGCUAAGUGUUAGGGGGGUUUCCGCCCCCUUAGUGCUGCAGCUAACGCAUUAAGCACUCCGCCUGGGGAGUACGGCCGCAAGGCUG